rnacentral:rRNA from 1 species
UGGGGAAUAUUGCGCAAUGGGCGAAAGCCUGACGCAGCUACGCCGCGUGGGUGAUGAAGGCCUUCGGGUUGUAAAGCCCUGUCGGGAGGGACGAAGUUCUGACGGUACCUCCCAAGAAAGCACCGGCUAACUCCGUGCCAGCAGCCGCGGUAAUACGGAGGGUGCAAGCGUUGCUCGGAAUCAUUGGGCGUAAAGCGUACGCAGGCUGUUCGUUAAGUCGGGUGUGAAAGCCCGGGGCUCAACCCCGGAACUGCGCCCGAAACUGGCGAGCUUGAGUGCGGGAGAGGGAAGCGGAAUUCCUGGUGUAGAGGUGAAAUUCGUAGAUAUCAGGAGGAACACCGGUGGCGAAAGCGGCUUCCUGGCCCGACACUGACGCUCAUGUACGAAAGCGUGGGGAGCAAACAGGAUUAGAUACCCUGGUAGUCCACGCCGUAAACGAUGAGUGCUAGCUGCUGGGAAUGUUUACCGUCUCAGUGGCGAAGCUAACGCAUUAAGCACUCCGCCG